rnacentral:misc_RNA from 1 species
AAGUUGUAACAAGGUUUCCAUAGGUGAACCUGCAGAAGGAUCAUUAAUGAAUUAAAUCGAAAGGGAGUUGUCACUGGUCUCUUCUCACCCAGGGGGAGGCAUUGUGCACACUCUCCUUUCCUUCAUUCAUCUACCCCCAUGUGCACUUAUUGUAGGCCGAGAAAUUUGGUCUAUGUAUUUUUCAUUUACAUCCCUGUAAAAGUUUAAUGAAUGUUUCAAAUAAGAUUGAGGAUGUGAGUCCUUCAAUUUUAAUAAAAUCUAAUACAACUUUCAACAAUGGAUCUCUUGGCUCUU